GAUGAACGCUGGCGGCGUGCCUAAUACAUGCAAGUCGAGCGAACAGACGAUGAGCUUGCUCCUCUGACGUUAGCGGCGGACGGGUGAGUAACACGUGGAUAACCUACCUAUAAGACUGGGAUAACUUCGGGAAACCGGAUCUAAUACCGGAGAAUCUAUUGAACCGCAUGGUUCAAUGGUGAAAGACGGUUUUGCUGUCACUUAUAGAUGGAUCCCGGCCGCAUUAGCUGGUUGUUAAGUUAACGGGUUACCAAGGCAACGAUGCGUAGCCGACCUGAGAGAGUGAUCGGCCACACUGGAACUGAGCCACGGUCCAGACGCCUACGGUAGGCCGCAGUAGGGAAUCUUCCGCAAUGGGCGAAAGCCUGACGGAGCAACGCCGAGUGAGUGAUGACGAUCUUCGGAUCGUAAAACUCUGUUAUUAGGGAAGAACAAAUGUGUAAGUAACUAUGCACGUAUUGACGGUACCUAGUCAGAAAGCCACGGCUAACUACGUG
rnacentral:rRNA from 1 species